UACAAAUCCCAAGCCAAAAGUCAGGUGUGCC
rnacentral:piRNA from 1 species